ACGCUCGACACCUACGGGAGCAGCAGUGAGGAAUAUUGGUCAAUGGGCGCUAGCCUGAACCAGCCAAGUAGCGUGAAGGAUGAAGGCUCUAUGGGUCGUAAACUUCUUUUAUAUAAGAAUAAAGUGCAGUAUGUAUACUGUUUUGUAUGUAUUAUAUGAAUAAGGAUCGGCUAACUCCGUGCCAACAGCCGCGGUAAUCUGAGCGGGCUGGCAAGGC
rnacentral:rRNA from 1 species